AGACCGAUAGCGAACAAGUAGAGUGAUCGAAAGAUGAAAAGCACUUUGAAAAGAGGGUUAAAAAGUACGUGAAAUUGUUGAAAGGGAAGCGCUUGUGACCAGACUUGGGCCCGGUCAAUCAUCCAGGGUUCUCCCUGGUGCACUUUUCCGGCUCAGGCCAGCAUCAGUUCGUCGCGGGGGAUAAAGACGUUGGGAAUGUGGCUCCUCCGGGAGUGUUAUAGCCCUUCGUGCAAUACCCUGCUUCGGACUGAGGUUCGCGCAUCUGCAAGGAUGCUGGCGUAAUGGUCAUCAGCGACCCGUCUUGAAACACGGACCAAG
rnacentral:rRNA from 1 species